UGGCACCUGUCUCAACUGCUUCCGAUCUCCUCUUCCAGUUGCUUCUAUUUGGGCCUAUUUUCUCAGGCUCUCUCUCCACCACCUCUUUUCUUUCUAUCUCCUUGUGUCUGUGUCCCGCUUCAGACCUCUUCUUUCGCCCCGUCUACAUUCGUCUGUUCUGCCUCUGUCUCUGGUGCCUCCUCCUCCAUUCCCCAGAGGACUCUGGGAAAUGCCUGAGCGAGCCACGCUCAAUGCGCGAGCGCUUUCAUCCCGAUCCAGGUGGCUACAAUCCAGUACAGGAUUUACGGUGCCCUGACCCUGAGCCGUCAAGAAGGAACAGCCAGAUUAAUGGGGUGGGCGGGCUGGGGUAAUAAUCGUUUGUUUGAUGUGACAAGCCUGAUAGGCGUUGAUUUACUUACAGACUGAUGGGCUUUUAAUUGAGCACCUCCAUCCCAGUCACUUCAAAGGCAGGGGAAGUUGACAAGGGGCCCCUUUCACGGAGGGUUCCCGGUGACUGACAGCCCCCUCUGCUGACGCUCCCCUCGGCCCAGGAUUGGGCCCGGCAGCCUUUCCCCGGCCCUCUGACAAAGUAACACAUUUUCCGUGUAACUCAGAAAUGGCCUUUUGUCUGCUGCCAGGAAAGGCAGGCCCUGUUCGCAGGGCCCCGCGCCUCCCAGAAGGACUUUUAGGGAGGAACAGCUAUAAGGAAAAGAUUACAACUUCAAGUUAUUGGCCAUAGGAAUGAGAUUGUUCCUCAAACACAGGCCUCCUCCUGGAACUUCAUAGUUAGGACUGGAGCUGAUGAACCUCUCCUGACACCACCAAAACCAUGGGAUGUAUCAUCUUUGACACGAACCUUUGCCUUUUCACGAGAAUGAACAUAAAAGGUCUAGAUAAUCCAGAGGACUCGUUAGGGUUCACUUGUUGGAAAGUAUGCUAUAUUAAAAUAUGUAUUUGUCAAUAUCAUGGAUUCUCUUAGGCCAGACUUGAUUAUUUCUCUCCUCCUCUUUCCUCUUCUUCUACUAAACAAGGGAGAAGGAGGAAGUAUGAGAAGUAUGCACGUUUUCUUAAAUGCAAAGAUGGAAAUGGAACCCUUUAUGAGCCUUCAAAGUUCUUUAAAGGAAUAUGAUCAGAAGGUCCCAGAGGUACUUCCCAGGAUUCGCUGCUUGAGUCCCCCACUGAACUUCUAACUCACUCCAAGGCUAUCCCACCAGCUUUCUUAAAAGAGGCUUGUUUGGAAUGCAUAUGGCAUUGGACCCAGCAAUUCUACUCCUAGGAAUUCAUCCUAUGUAGUUAUACCAGCACAGAUGGAGAAUUAUAUAUAUUAUUAUAUAUAUACAUACUUAUACACAUACAUAUAUACAUAAGUUAUUCCCUGCAGGAGCAAAAGAUGAGAAACCAUCUAAACAUCCACAAGUAGGAGACCAGUCAAAUAAACUGUGGCACAUCCAUGUAACAAUGCCAUGAAACGGAAAAAAUAAAUUCAUAAAACACAGCAGCCUGUGAUGCAAUCUCCAAAAUAUAUUAAUUUUUUUAAAAAAAGCAAGUGCAGAACAGUUUGUAGAGUAUGUCACUGUUUGUAUAUAAAAGAAGGAAGGAAGAGAUAUGUAUUUGCUGAUAUAUGUACAAAAUACCUUGGGAAGGAUGGACAGCAAACUCAUGGCAUCGAUGCCCUGGGGAGAGAAACCAGACAGCUACAGGGAGGUUUUCUCACUGUACAGUUUCCUAGCUUUGGAACUGCUGUCAUGAGAAUGCACUUCAUCAUAAAUAAAGAAACUCAUUUUUCAAUAAAAUAAAAAAUAAUUGAAAUCACUCUUAAAGGUGAUUUUUGUUUUGUAAAUCCCCGCUCUGGAUGGACCACUACACUUCUAUCCCUCUGGCCUUUGGUUCGGUUAGGACCCUGCCUCUCAGGUUUCCUGCUCUAAGCAGAGGCUGGCAUGAGGCCACCAAAAUAAACAUUCCUCGAAAUUGUUCCGACAGCUUGGAAUUUGGUUUUAUCAAACACAGCAGUGAUAACUGAGCCCCUGCCCAAGCAGCUCUCCCCUUGUCUCUUGUUGUGUUUGUUGAAAGGAGUCUGGAGCUGCACAUCCCAGCUAGUUGGGAACCCAGCCUCGAAGGGGGCAGUUUUGGCAAGUUGAGAGUCUUAUCCACCAGAAGUGGGGGUCAUAGAAACAUCACCACCUUCAUGGCUGAAACCCACGGAAGGGUCAAAAGCACGUGUGACACCAGCCCUGGCAGCUGAGACACUCAUAGUCUGCCACCACCAAGAUCUUCCAGAGGGGAGGACCUGGGGUGCCCACUGGUUCCAGCUGCUGGAAGCUCAGCGCAUGGGGGCGGGAUGCUUGGGUAAGCCUGGUCCUGCUUCUCUUUCAGGGGCCCUUUGCUCUGCUCUUCGACUCCCCUCAUGCCCAAACGAGAGAUGGUGCAUGAGCACACCCGGCAGGGUUCAUACUGGCACCCAGAAGUUGCUCAGUAAGCGUUAGUGGAAUCUGGAUUUAACCCUGAGUAAAUGCACCAAGAACAGUGAGUAACUAAACUACAGAGUACUAAGCAGGAUUCAAGUUAAGGCCUCCUGCUUUUUUUUUUUUUUUUUUUUUUAUCUGCAAAAGCAGCACGCAGAUACCCAAAGGAAAGGGCCGUCCUGCCUCUCCGGAGCAGGGAACAUGUAUACCGGAGAGGUGGGAGUCGCCAGGGGCCAGUACCUGCUAUGGGACAACGUGAGGCCGCACCUGCCAAGGGACUGAUAAAUAGUAAUUGAAUGAAUUAAGUCAAUUCAGUUCAAUUAAUUAAAUGAACGUUCCUCUUACUUCCUUUUGUGCCUCAGUUUUCUCUCUACCAUAUUCUCAUUCCUGAAGAUGAAAGGAAAUUCCUGAUGGUGAAAACCAGCCCUCUGGGAAACGGCAGAAGUCAUUUGUUUCAGAUUCUCCGGCUGCUCUCCCUGCUCUAGGCCCCUCUGGCCCUCAGUGCUGCACUCAGAAGACUGGCUCAGGAAACAAGCACUGGGAUUGGCCAUUGGUUCUGCCACUUUCUCGCAGUGUAACUUGGGCAAGUUACUUAACCUCUCUGGGCCUCCGUGCCUCAGCUACAAACCAGGCCUAGUAAUAGUACCCACCUCACCGGUUUGUCGUGAGAAGUAACUCAGUUAUUAUAUGUAAGGAGCUCAGAACCAUGUCUGGCACACAGUAAGCACUCAAUAAAUGUCAUUAUUACCCUGGGCGAAACAGUCUCUGGCUGCUAAUCACAACUGAGGUGUUGGCAGAUUACUGAGGAAUGAUUCCUCCCGGCAGUAUUUGCAACUUAAAAGAGGAAUCUUCAAGAACCUUGAAGGCCCAAAGGAACAAAGCGGUCCAGGGUGAAUGCCCAGGGCUAAGGUUGAUGUAUGGGGCGGGGCAGAUGAAGCAGGAGAACUUCAAAAGCUCACCUACUCACCUACUCGCAGCCCCCUCUCCCCGCCAGCCCUGCCUAUCUCCCCGAGGGCUGAGAGCUGAUAAAUGAAACCACCUCUUCAAAGCACCCUCCUCAAGGACCCGGAUCAAACACGGGGCUGGAAGAUAAGCUUCAGUCUACAUCUCCUUUUGUCCGUUCCUUCCCACCACAUCUCCAAAGGAGAUUCUAGAGGGAGGAAAAGUAGUUAAUUCCUCCCGCUUUUAUCAAAAGGAGGUGCCUCCCCAUCCACGGGGCAAUCAGCGGCGAUAGAGAACCAGGGAGGGAGCGAGGAAGACCUCUUCCAGGCACUCUGCCAGCGGUGGCUGUGUGACUUUAGAUUCCCCCAGAAGCUCUCAGAGCCAGGGUCUUCAUCCAUCAAAAGACAUAAAAACACCUGCCCAAAAUAACUCUGAAAAUUGUUGCAGGACAAUGAACACAAACAUGUACUGGGGAAAAGAUACUUUAACAUGCUUAUAUAGUUAACAUUUUGAAAUAUACAAAGUCAUUCUCCUAGAAUCUUUUUGGGAAUACAGAGUGAGAUGCGAUACCAAUCAAUAGCCCUCUCUAUGUAAAACUCUCUUUCAUUCAUCAACAGACAUCCAUUGGGCACUCACUGCAUUCAGACUGCCUGGAUUCACACCCCAGCCCCACCUCUUAGCAGCUGGGGUUUUGGGCAAGUUACUUAACCUCUCUGUGCCUCCAUUUCCUCCUCUGUGAAUGGGGGUAAUGAUAGGACCUACCUCAGAGGGCUUCUGUAAGGAUUAAAUGAGAGAAUGCAUGCAGAGUGCUUAUGACACUGCUUGGCUACCGUGAGAAUGAUACUUAAACUCCCCACUAGGCAAUAAGAAUACAAAGAGGAUGAGGACAAUACAGAAGCAUUCACAGUCCAGUGGGAGAGUGGACAAGUAAACAACGACAGAUGCCAUGUGAUAAGUGUAAUAAUAGAACAUAAGACAAACUGUGAGAACAUGGAAGACAGAGCUACUCUAGUGGGCUGGCUGUUCUCAUUUGCCCCCACUGUUCCUCUGCCCGUCUGACCCUCUCAUGCCCGAAGCUGGGUCUGCAGCCUAGGGAUGGGGCAGACGCAGGAAGCGCCUCGGAAGGCCUGAGCACAGUGCGCCAGAUCAGGGCUCCUGGCCAAGACAGUAAUUGCCAGCCGCUGAAAGAUAUUAAGCGCCAGGGAGGAAAACCAAGUUCUCUAUGAGGCGGACUUUUCAGAGUUCUUACAGCUUGUAAAAAAAAAAAAAUGUAAAUACUUACCCAGUGAGAUAUUAUUUCAUGUUGUUGCCAUUAGAGUUUGAGUGUUAUGCAGAGAGAGACGAUCAUUCAGGCAAUUCCGCCUCAGCGAGGACUGAAAACUCCACAUUAACCCCACACAACAAAUCUACCAGCUCCAGCUCUCAACCUGACUCAGGCAUUUUCUCCCGGGUGGCGAGUUUUAUGUAAAUUGAAAUUGCGAAAAAAAAUCUAUAAAUAUUCAGAAUUUCCUAAAGGAUUUUCUUGAUGGUUUCCAGGGGGCAUUUUUUUAAAAGACAGAUUUGACUGGAGGCUAGCAGAGGGGGUGACUCUCAUUUCCAGAGAAUUCUUGGAUAUCUUGGGUCUUCCGGUCAGUUGGCAACGCUGAGACCCUCCAGAUCCGUUGCUGCCAUGCUCUUCAGAGCUGCUGCCCCACAGAUGACUCGUGCCUCACAACCCUCUUUACCUGGGACUUUCUUAGUGCCAAGCACUAAACAUGUGACAUGCAUUGUCUGCUUCGGGCCUCCUGACUUUGAGGUGGCCACUCUUACAUUUUGCACAUGAGGACCCCGCAGCUUAUGGAGGUUAGCUUGCUGGGGACCACACCAGCGGUGUGGUUCAGAGGCCUCCCUCCAGGAGACCACACCCCAAGUGACCAGGCUGCUACUCACCAGUCAUGUGACUUUGGGCAAGGGACUAAGUUCUCCACGCCUCACUCUCUUCAGCUGAUAAUAGUACCUGAUGCUUAUCACAUGCCCCCACACAGAAUCGUUAUUCUUCACCACAGUGGCACAGGGCAGUCGCCAGCAGCGCUCAGCCCUGUCCUAUACUAACAGUGCUGUUCACUCCCAGGGCAAUCUGAGAGGGCCUGGAUAGAGGGAGAUCCCGUAACCAUACAUCUGCCACUUUUCUGCAAGGGGAGGAUGUGUGCCAUGUGCCCUGUGUGACAACGUCUUGCACAGACUUUUCAACCGCACCCCUAGCACAAUGCUUUGCCCACAGCUGGCCCUCAAUAAUAGUGGCCCAACUGAAUACUGAGCCUUAUUCUCCAGGUGACAAGCCAUUCCUUUGAAAGUUGUCCUUGCUUUAGGCCACUAGGGCCCCUUUUAGGACUCUGUGUGGGUUAGCAGUUCAGCUAAGUGAAUGUCAAACUCUGAUUGUAAUAAUCAUCUAGUGGUCCUUUAAUUAGGCCUCUCGCCUAAGUAUGGUGUUCCAUUCUCUCUCCCAAGGUAAACGGAUGGAUCCGGCCAAAGGAGCCCUGCUGCCCUCACCACCACCCAGAAGGGAAGGGUGACCCCACUCCUUUGCUAGCAUUUUCCAUUGUGUGGGGGUGGGGUGGCGGGCAGGCCGGUCUCCACCUCCAUGCUGUCUGGCGCCCACCGCUCCUAUCAGUGAUUACUGCUGUGAGCUAGGGAGUGGGGUUUUUUUAAAGAUCAAAUUCCACACCCUCCACCCCGAGCCUGGCUGUCCUGUCCUGGCCUCCUCCUUCCUUUCAUCCGCUCACUACCUUUUUCUUCUCUUUUCCUCUCCAAACAGAGAGUACGUAUCCUAUCAUCUUCUGUUCUUCUCCCUCUCUCUUUUCUACUGCCUCCUGCUCCUCUUUUCCUUCCAAAUUCCUAAACGCCUUUUCUCUCUCCCCCUCCUCUUUCCUCCCAACUGAUUUCUCAUUAAUCAUUCCUAACACACAUCUGCUGGGGUCCUAGAAGGCUUUCUCGGCGGGCUUUCACAGCUGGGCUGGUUAUAAUAAUCAAGAAGGAGUCUUUCAUCUUUUACUGUCUCCUAGGUCUCCCCUCUUCCCAGCUCUUCCUCCUGCAAGGUGCCCAAAGGCCCACCCUUUCCACUCUGGAAGGCUCUCUCCUGCUCACCGUCUGCAUAGCAGUCUCCCAAAGGCCAAAGGGCCCUCUAGGUUGAAGCGGCCCUGCAGUGGACUCUUAACGUGGUGUUGGCAGUGACAGUGAUGUCAGACUGCAUAGAGGCUGGCAUGAGAAAAGCUACGGGGUGGGGAAGGAUAGAGACCACCACAAUCAAAUAACUGGGAUCGCUCCCCGGUCUCGUAUCCCUCUUGCCACAAUAUGGAAGACAUCUCCCACUCAAGG